rnacentral:rRNA from 1 species
AUUGAACGCUGGCGGCAGGCCUAACACAUGCAAGUCGAGCGGAUGAAGGGAGAUUGCUCCUGGCUUCAGCGGCGGACGGGUGAGUGAUGCAUAGGUAUAUGACUGGUCGUGGGGGCUAAGGUCAGGUCACGGGCGCUAAUACCGCAUACGUCCAGAGGGAGAACGUGGGGGAUCUUCGGACCUCACGCUUUUUGAUGAGCCUAGGUCGGAUUAGCUAGUUGGUGGGGUAAAGGCCUACCAAGGCGACGAUCCGUAACUGGUCUGAGAGGCUGAUCAGCCACACUGGAACUGAGACACGGUCCAGACUCCUACGGGAGGCAGCAGUGGGGAAUAUUGGACAAUGGGCGAAAGCCUGAUCCAGCCAUGCCGCGUGUGUGAAGAAGGUCUUCGGAUUGUAAAGCACUUUUAGUUGGGAAGAAGGGCAGUAAGUUAAUACCUUGCUGUUUUGACGGUACCAACAGAAUAAGCACCGGCUAACUUCGUG